GCCAGGUAUGGUGAUGUGUGCCUGUAGUCCCAGCUACUCAGGAAGCUGAGAUGGGAGGAUCACUUGAGCCCAGGAGGUCAAGGCUGCAGUGAAUUAUAAUCAUGCCACUGCAUUCCAGCCUGGGCAACAGAGCAAGACCCCAUCUCUU
rnacentral:SRP_RNA from 2 species